rnacentral:rRNA from 1 species
AUUGAACGCUAGCGGCAUGCCUUACACAUGCACGUCGAACGAGUGGCGGACGGGUGAGUAAUAUAUGGGACCCUGCCUAGUUGCGUGUGAUAACUACUCGAAAGAGUAGCUACUACCGCAUACUAUCGGCGCUGCCCAUAUCGGAUUAGCUAGGUGGUGGGGUAAAGGCUAACCAAGGCGACGAUCCGUAGCUGGUUUGAGAGGAUGACCAGCCACACUGGGACUGAGACACGUCCCAGACUCCUACGGGAGGCAGCAGUGGGGAAUUUUGGACAAUGGGGGAAACCCUGAUCCAGCCAUGCCGCGUGUAGGAGAAGGCCUUCGGGUGGUAAAGUACUUUUGGCAGAGAGGCGGUAUCUGCAGAAUAAGCACCGGCUAACUCCGUGCCAGCCGCCGCGGUAAUUC